AGUGUGCACGUAAUUCUUGGCUGUUGGGGCGAAUAUUUGUUAAAAUUGGUGGAAAAUAUUUGUUUAAAGUUGUGAAUUGACUUUUUUAUUUCAUUUAAAGUUAAAAUUAUUAAUAAAAGCAAAAAGUAGUGUCGGGGAAAGUCGUAAUGCGUUAAAUUCCUUGUGUAAAUUCUUAAAAUGCGUGUUCGGGUACGGGGCGUAUAUAUGAAUGUCAACUUUAUAUUAUAUUACAGUAGAACAUCAAGUGAACAAGGAAAUUGUGAAAAUAUAUACAUAUUUUAUUWUUAUUGGAAACAUAAAAAGUGGUAUUUUAGAGACUUAUAUAGUAAAUGGAAACAAAUAAGAACACAUAGGCUAUAAAAACAUAUUAGUUAUGUAAUCGCAGCCAAGAUAUUAUAAAAAAUAGCGCUUAGUGUAAUAUUGACAAGCCAAGUUUGAAAGGCCUUCAUUCCGUGUAGCGAUUAACGUUUACAGUCUUUGAUUGGUUCAAAACGGUUGCCCCGUGGCGGUCGUCUGAAUGUGCUGUACAGCCAGAAGUCACACGACGCCAAAAUCUGGCGAAUACACUGCCUGCGGCAUGAAAUUAGUUCAAUUUUUGGCGAAAACUCACGAGGAAUCAAUGUAGUAUGCGGCGGUGCCUUCAUUUGGUGCAAAACCAAGAGCUGCCCGUCUAUAAUUCCGGUCGGAUGGUCGUAAGGAAUUCGGAGUGCACUCCCCCUCCAUAAUUGAAGCAAACUGCCAACAAAACCGUGUUUUUUAACCUKCUUGGCUUUUUCGGCUGCAGCUCAGCUUGGCCACGAUAUUCAGCCGAUUGAUCGUUUGUUUACGGGUCGUAGGCAUAGAUCCAAGACGCAACGCCAGCAAUAAUACGUUUCAUGAUAUCCUGGCAGUCGGAAGGCAUUGUUUCACCAACGUUAACGCGGCGCUGUUUUUCGAACAAAUUUACCUCCGUGAGCAAAAUUUUACUGGAACGGCUGGAACGACCGAGCGAACUCACCUAACUCGGGAGAUUAUUUUACACUAAGGUACUACGAACCAAUAAAAAAUAGAGAAGGCCAUUUUUUGAAGGUGUAGCACACAAAAAACGGGUAUUGAAUGAAGUGAAGCGCCAGCUGAGGAGCGCAUGUCGUGAAAAUUGAGACAUAUGUAUAUAUUAUCCAUCAGAUCUGGACUGCCUAGUUGUCAAAAGUAAUUAUCAAACAAAAAGUUGGAUACUACGAUCAAAAACUAAUCGUUUAUGGACAAAAUGUGCCAAUUUAAAAGUUUUGGACAGGGAAUAAAUAGAGAGGACYCGGAAUAGAUGGAAGGAUACUCGGAAAUCCUCUCACAACCCAUUUCAACACCUUCCCUUAGAAAAAAUAAUCAUUUUGACGAUUUUAUUCUCAAAAAUCGGCGAUUUGGUACACAUUUUUAUUUUUCUAAAUUUCUGUGUAAAUCCAAAUUUAAAGUUUCUUCAAUAAAAAUAUGCCCCAAGGGAUUCUGCAAAUUUCUGUGUCUUUACUUUUGCUCUACGACCUUUAGUUUAGA